CACAAAUCUCACACCUAGUCAUUAAUCCAUUAACACGAGGAUAUAUAGUCAUACAGAUGACUGUCAUUGAUAUGGUUUGGCUCUGUGUCCCCACAUCUUGAAUUGUAAUCCUCAUAAUUCCCAGGUGUAGAGGGAGGGACCAGAUGGGAGGUGAUUGGAUCACGGGGGUGGUUUUACCCAUGCUGUUCUGGUGGUAGUGAGUGAGUCUCACAAGACCUGAUGGUUUUAAAAGUGGCAAUUUUUCCCAUGUUUGCAUUAAUUUUCUUCCUUGCCACCUUGUGAAGAAGGUGCCUGCUUUCCCUCUCCUAUGAUGAAUGGUAGAGAGCAGUCUAUAGCCUGAGACCCAUCCCUAGGUAAGUAACUGAAUUGGGGUUUCUCUUGGCUAAAGUGAAUAUUAACAACCAAAUGGCUUUAAUUUCUCCUUACCAUUAGAGCACUCAGUAAUCAUAUAAGUUGUGCGAUCAUUUAUUUUUGCUUAACUGUUUUUUGUUGUUUGUUUCUGUUGUUGUUUCAGUCUUUUUCCCAUUGGGUUUCACCAACUCUAUUUGACUUGAUCAAAUCCAAAGGAAAGUUCCAAAUUAUGGGGAACUAGGCCUCUAAAGUGGCUAAAUUCCCUCCACCCCCAAAAUAAAAGGUGCUAUGGUGGAGGGAGAAAAAAAGCCUGCAAAAGAAAUAUAUAUAUAUAUACACACACACAUAUACAUAUACAUAUAUAUAUAUAUACACAUAUACAUAUAUAUAUAUACAUAUAUAUAUAUAUAUACACUUUUUUUUUUGACUACUUAAGGGGCUUUAUUUACAUAAAAGGCCACCUUUCUGCUAGCCAGGCCAAACUGAAAGAGCAAUGUCUACAACCCCAUGCUAAGGUCUAUAGCUAACGUCCUGCUUCGUUUUUUCACAACAGCUUAAGUUUGAUUCCUAAAGCUCUUUCUAGUUUGACACUUGGUACUUCUGAAAGAGCAGGAAUUUGUCCUAGCUAAAAUAUGGUAAUGACAUUUAAAAGGAUUUUUUUAAGCAGUUCAAUGGUUAAAAGCCAGGGUAAUUAGUAGGCUCAUAUCCAAGAUGUGUGUGUAUAUGUGCAUGUGCGCACAUUUGUAUUUAAAAGACUUUCAUGUUUUUUUCCUCUCCUAUGACCUUGUCUUUUUUUUUUUUUUUUUUUGGCAAAAUAUUUUUUUCUUCUCAGUUGAAUGAACUCUGUUUUUACCUGAUUUUUUGACUAAAAUAGUUAUUGCAACAGAGGCUACUCUUGGGUUUUUAAGUAGGAGUGUAGCUUAUCACUUUGAAAUGUCCUUGUUUAAACAAUAUAUUUUAAUUGUACUGUAAAAGCAUCACAUGCUGUAGCCUCAUAAUAACUCUCCCUUUUUGGAGACCCAGGAUUCAGUGUGGGCUCUGCCCAGAGCUCAGAGAUCCAGUUAAAAAAAAAUAGGUAGUCCCUAACUAAAUAAACUUGCUCUCCUUAUACAAUCCUAUGAUACAUUUUUAUAAUUUUAUGUUUGAUUUGACAUCCUCUUUAAUCUCCCUCUAGCAUCACCAAACAUUUUCUCUGUGUACCUUGAGAUGUAAAUUUUGCUAUCCAAUUUUUCAUCUAAGAGUUGUUUCCUUUAAUAUGCAAAUCUAAGGCUGUUUAGCUCACAUCUGCCUAGGGUAGGAUAGAAAAAAAAAAAGGAAAAAUAGAAAGUCUUUAUCAAUCUAUUAAGAUGUACUUCUAUCAGCAUGCCCAAUAUGUCUAUAUAUUUAUGUGUUGUAUAUGCAAUGUUUUGCUACUAAAAAUAUAUAAAAGAGCUCGAAUUAAUUGGGUUACAAAUCAUAAAAGUGCUUAAAUCAGACACUAAAAAAAGACUAGUCAAAUGCUUUUCAAAUUCACAUGACUUAAGUAAAAUCUUAAUAAGAUGGUUUUAAAAUCAUUGAUAAAAUAAUAUUAGAAAUGUCUUAAGAAUUUACCAGCAUACAUUUUUGUUUGCAUUUAUUAACCAAGCAAUUUCAUACUUAACCCUACCAAGUACUGCAAGGUGUCAAAACUUGGCAGAGGGGUUACAAAACUAAAACUCAGCCUGAAACAGAAUGAUAUUUGCUUGUGUAAUUUUUAAUAAAUAAGACAUUAUAUUGGUUUAAUAAAAAAUAGGUACAUCUAAAAUGUAGUAAUAUUACCAUAACUUUAACCCUGUGGAUUUUGGUGGUCUAGUCCACAGGCAGUAAGGUUUGUUACUGCCUUUGUUUCAAAGGUAACUAUGCACUAAGUUCCUCCAAAAGUUAGUUUGGCCUACACCCAGGAAUGAACAAGGACAGCUUGGAGGUUAAAAGCAAAAUGCAGUCAAUGAGGUCAAAUCUUUUUCACUGUCUCAGUUGUAAUUUUGCAAUGGCAGUUUUAUAACUUUUAAUCACGACCAUCACACUUUUCAUAAAUAAUCUAGGUAAACAAUUAAAAUAAUAUAAUUAGGUAAAUGUAAUGGGAUCAAUACUUGUAGACAGGCUUGUCAUAAUUUAGAAUAUAAAGUUAAAUUAAAUAAUAGAUGUUUCAUUAUUUGUGUAUUUUCCAAUAUAAAUAUAUUUUAGGAAGACAUUCUUUCUAAAAACAAAGUCCUUUUUAAAAGAGUGGACAAUUUUUGUCUAACUCAAAGCUUAUUUAAAGGUUACACAUAAAACAAGGUAAAAGGAACCAGGAAAUAAGAGAAGUUUAAAAAGAGGUAAGUGGAAAUAAAGAGGUAAUUUUUUUGGUAAGAAAGCUUAACAAGAAAUGAUUUUAUAUGAGAAAGAAUUGUGUAUGGUAUUUUAGAGCUAGCAUAAAAUGACUAGUUGUUAAGAGAGAGGGAUGUUCAGGACAAACCAGAAAGUCCAAGCAUGUCAUGAAUGGUGUGUGUAAAUCACAAUAAAAGGAUUUAUAAAAAAUAACCUACAUGAUCAAGUUGUCUAUAAUUAAAGGGAAAUUAUAAUGGUUUUUAGAGAUUGGGUUUGAUGUAGAAAACACACAUAUACUAAACAUGGUUUAGAACAAUAAAAUUUUCUUAAGAGAUUGAUUUACUCUUAAUAAAUUAUAAAAGAUUUUAUUUUAUUUUCUAAUCCAAAGUUCAACUUUUAUUGCAUCUCUCCAUUUUCGGUUUUCUCUCCCCUUUAAAAGGGCAUGAAAUAGUAAUGCUCUCCAACAAAUUUUCAGCUCACAUAAUUUUUUUUCUGGAAUCCUGUUGUAGUGACCUGAUAUUAAUAAUAUUUUCUUAAAGGCCUAAAGGAAAUACUUUCUUCCAACUUAAUCUUCUGUGCAGUGCAGAAGGUCAUUUCUUUUGCCUUUUGCUAACUGGCCUAAAAGAUGUAUGUUUUAUCAAAAAAAUUCCUAUGCCAUUAUUAUUAAGUCUUAGUUUGCUUAGAAAAAACUGACAUGAAAUUUUUUAUUUUAAUUAACAUUAUUACAUCCAUGUAUCUUUCUGUAUGUGCUUUUAAAGUUCUUUUGACAUUGAGUUACAGGGCUUUAACUCCUGGGUCUAAAAAGGACAUCAAGUCCUGCCAAAUCUGAAACCUUGACAGCAACUGAAGCCUCAUCUUCAUGCCCAGCAGAAAAUGCCAAUUGGAAUAAACUGCAUUCCUAAGACAAAAGGCCAGAAAUUUAAGCUAGUCAACUCCUCAAGGCACAGUGGGUAUCACAGAAGAGGUGGGCAAGUGAGAAUAUAAGGGCCAAUUUUUGAAAGAUAACAUAGAUUCAGUUUCUCAAUAAAUUAAUCAUGAAUGUCAAAGGCACACUGAUGCAAGACCAGCAUAUGAGCUCCUGUGUCAGAUUAACUAGAUUUUAUUGAAGCAUUAACUGACUUCUUAAUAAAGGCUACAGGGUUAUAAAAGGUUAAUGGAAGUUAUAUCUUAUGGCCAAGAUUAAAAUUUUAUACAUUGUUAAAAAAUUUUGAAAAAUAAAUGUAAUUGGGCUUAUGCUGUUUUUAUUAGUGUUUAUUGUUUGGAAAAUAAGACUCCUCUCUCAAAGAAUGAAGGUUUUUGCCUUUUUUUAAAAAAUCAUUGGGUUAUCACUUUGGUUAAACGAAUGACUGGUUUUACAAUGACCUCUGAUCCUAUUUUGUGAUAUCAAAUGUUUUAAACCUUUGAUAUUUGACAAACUUUCCAAAAUCAAAUCAUAAAUUAUGUCUCUUUCUGACCUAAUUAAUCCUUUAAAAUAUGAGGUUUCUUCAAGUCCAAAAAUGACAUCAUUUGGCUUAUUUUGUAGAAAUAUUAUACAGGAAGCAAUGUCAAAUAUGAAAUGGUGUUUGGUUUUCUUUGGGUUGUAUUUGUAUAAAUAUGUUAUUGGUAUGUGUUCCAAAAUCAUGGAAAACUCCUAUAAUUCUGAUGACUUAAUGUAUACAAUUAGGAAUAAUUAUAAUUAUUAUAUUAAAUUAUUGUGUGCCACAGAGGUAACAAAUUUCCUUGUCAAUUGUGUCUUUUUUGUGGCUGCCCUAAAACCUUUUGUCAUCCUGGACAAUUGUCUUGUUUUGGUCUUCCUUAGAAGGUGGUUUUAUAAUCAGCUAUAAAACUCUAACAUGUGUUCCUAAAUUCAGGUUUCUGAUAACUUUGGAGACUAUGACAUCAGAAUAGAGGAAAAAAAAUUCAGCACUCUUAUAGAGAGCUGAAAUGUUCAUGAAUAUCAAGCAGAACAGCAGUUAACUGCAUAAACUAAACUAGUAGAAGACUAAAGUAAUCUUUUUAACUUUUUUGCUUAGAAUAUUGCUGAUCCUUUGUUUAGUUUUUCAGAGACAGGAAAACUUUUCUUUUAAGCUAUUUACAGCUUUUAGCAGUUAAGUAAGGUAUAUUCUUAAGAACAAAAUUUGGAGCAUACUUGUUUCUCUCUACCUGAUUUCUCCAAGAUUUGAAAACUAUUUUUGAGUAUUCUUAACUUCUAACAAUACAGUUACUUGCACAAGUGCAAUCUGUUUUCACUUGUAACAGGACACAAUUGAAGAAACUGGUUAUUUUACCAAGACUUUGACUGAAAUAAGGCACCAUCCUUUAAACAAUCAAACUUGACUUAUAGAGCCAAUUAAAGCCCCACAUGGAAAAAAAAAAAAAAACAACUGGCCUCACACCUUUGCCUACACAGCCCCUGUACAGGGUUCCUGACCUGUGGUAGGUAAUGAAUGUCACUUUAUCACAGGACCAGGAGCCUCAAGGUUAUCUUGGAACCUCAAGAGGAGAUCACCCAAGUCACAGGUAUUUGAUGGCACAAAUCCAUGACUGGGUUUGUCUUUUAAAAAGUCUUACCUGCAUACCGUUCCAUGAAAGCCAGUUGAAAUGCCAAUGUAAAAAAUAAUUAUUCUUGUCGCACCAUAUACAAAUAAUUAGGCUAAAUCUGAUAAAGCAAACCAGAUCUACCAUAAUUUGUUUUUAGUAAAAAUGUGAAACUGAGGAGGGAAAUAUUAUGUUUCAAAACUAUAGGUCACUCGUUGUUAGAGUCUAGUAUUUUCUAAUGAUUUUCAAUUUUUAUUAUUUUUUACAGUUUGAGCUGAAUUCUAGUUUUUCCUGUAUACAAGUCUCUAAAAAUUUUUUCUUAUUUUUCUUCUUUAUUUUCCUGAAAAUAAACCUCAUUUUUCCUAAUGUGAAAUCACUGAAAACUAAGCUAUACUUUUAUAAAGCCCUGGCUAGACAACUUAAACUUCCAAAGAAAAUAACAACAACCUAUUUACAUACAUAACCCACUUUCAUACCUGCCUACUGAUGUAUGGACUUCACAGUAAUGUGGCCUUUAUCAAUUUUCCAGGAUUGUUCUUAUGUUUGUUAUUUUUCUCCUUUCCUCACCCUAUUUUCUCUUCAUAGGACAUGAGACUUCACAAUCUGCUAAAAAUGAGCUUUCCUAAUUAGUCGGUACUUAACCAUUUAGGAUUAAACCAUUCUAGCCAUGAGAGAUUAGACGAAACCUGAGACCGGAGACUCAUUUUCUUCUAAGAUAUUUUCCUCAAAAGAUUUUUAAAAAGAAAAGCAGGGAAAUGUGAAAGAAAAAUAAAUCUUGGGGCCUCCAAAUCACUACUGCUUAGGGCCAGCCUGCCUCCCAUUCUAUUCAAAGUCACCCCUCUGCUCACUGAGAUAAAUGCAUAUCUAAUUGCCUCCUUUGAAGAGGCUAAUCAAAAACUCAAAAGAAUAAAACCAUUUGUCUCUUAACUACCUGUGACCUGGAAGUCCCUUCCCUGCUUCGAGUCUUCCCUCCUUUGCUUCAAAGUUGUCCUGCUGUUCCAGACCAAACUAAUGAUCAUCUUGCAUAUAUUGAUUGAUGUGUGAUGCCUCCCUAAAAUGUAAAAAACCAAAAUGUGCUCUGACCAUCUUGGGCACAUGUCAUCAGGACCUCCGGAGACUAUGUCACAGGCGCAUGUCCUCAACCUCAACAAAAUAACUUUAUAAAUUACCUGAUACCAGUCUCAGAUUUUCAGGAUUCAUACUCUUCUUUUUACUAUUAUUAUUAUUUGUGUUAAGAACAGUUAACAUUAUAUCUAUCCUCUAAGCAAAUUUUUAAGUAUACAAUACAGUAUAAAUGCCAUUAUGUGCAGAUUUCUAGGAUGUAUUCAUCUUUACUAACUGAAACUUUGUACCCUCUUUAAAAAAUUUGUCUUGAUUGGUACAUUCUAUGCUUCCUGUGUUUGUGGAAUCAUUAAUCAGUUCUGGAAAUUCUUGGACAUCACCUCUAUGAAUAUUGCUUCUACUAAAUUUUCUCUAAUCUCUUCCUCCUAGACUCUGAUUAUGAGCUUAUACAUAUUCAUGUUCAUGUAUUUUAUCACUUUUGCAUUGUCCAUUCCCUUGUCUCUCUAUGCAGCUUUCUGUGUUACUUCUUUGUGUAUAUACAUGUAAACCAAAAAUAAAAUUCUAAGGAACCCCCAACCAUCUGAAUGGACUUCUUCCUCAGCCAGAGCUCUUAAAACUUAACAUGAAAGACUGGUUCAGGCCAUGAAGGGAAGUGGGGCUCGAACAUGUCUUAUUAUACCUCUCCAGCAUUAACAUCAACAGAGACUUUAAGUCUGCUAAGAAACAUUUUGCAAUAUAUUAUCUCUGAAGUCUGCUAGCUAGAAGCUUCAUCUGCAUAGUAAAACUUUGGUCUCCACAAUCUCUUAUUACGAACCUAGACAUUCCUUUCUAUUGAUCCCAGGUCUUUAGAAAAACCCAACCAAUUGCCAACCAGAAAAUGUUUACAUUUACCUAUAGCCUGGAACCCUUCCCUCCCUUCGAGUUGUCCUGCCUUUCUGGACCAAACCAAUGUAUUUCCUAAAUGUAUUUCUUUGAUGUCUCAUGCCUCCCUCAAAUGUAUAAAACCAAGCUGCACCCGGACUAUCUUGGGGACAUGUUCUUGGGACCUCCUGAGGGCUGUGUCAUGGGCCAUGGUCACUCAUAUUUGGCUCAGAGUAGAUCUCUUCAAAUAUUUUACAGAGCUUGACUCAUUUCAUCAAAAUAUUCUUCAACAAUUCUCUUUAAAAUGAUGUCAAAUGUGUAAUUUCAUCUAUCUAGCGGCAGAUUUCUUGUACUUUUCAUAUAUUUCAUAUUUAUACUUCUUAUUUCAGGAAUGUUUUUCUUUCCAUCUGUCUGUUCAUUCUGAUUAUUACUCAGUAUAUGCUUAUAUUUUAAUGCUGCGAGUAUAUCUUUAAACAUUUUGUAUGCAGCUAUUGUAUAUAUUUAAAAUAGGAUUUUCCAGCAUAUACAGACUGUUGUGGCUAAAUCUGUUACUUGUACAUUUCAUUGAUUCUCCUUAUGAUUGCUGGCCUUUUAGCUGUCUGAAUAUUUUUCUGUUUGCUCAUUUCUUUAUGUUCAUUUCUGUAUAUUAUGAGAUUUAUAUAGGAACAAUUAACUGCAUGAGUUUAUUACAAUAAUAAUAGUAGCUUGAGGAUAACCUCAACCCAGAACCAUUAUAGUUCAUUUGAGAGUUUUGCUUCAAGAAAGAAGUUCAAGUUCAGAAGUUCAGGAACCCUACAGCUGGAAUCCACUCCCCAGCACCUCCACCCUACUCAGUGUCUGCUGGACUCUCUGGCUCCCAUCUGUUCUGGCUACCUGCCUCUGUGGUCCUGAUUGCCAGGUACUAAUGAUCAGGCUCUGGAAACCAAACCCAACUCCUGAUCUUACAGAUUCCAAUGUUGUUUCACAAUGCCCCUAAUUCAUAUUAAUUAUUUGUGCUUUUAAUUAAUUAAUUGACUUUUGUAUAGUGAGGGUGUUUACUGGAUAAUUUUUAUAGAUUUUUUUUUCAGAGCAGCAAGUGUAUUAGAUUUCUUUUUUCUCCAGAAAAAAAGAAACAAUAAAGGACAAUAGGGAAGAUCAAUCUAUCUGUACAGCAAAGGAAACAAUCAAGAGAGUGAAGAGACAACCUACAGAAUGGGAGGACAUAUGUGAUAAGAGGUUAAUUUUCAAAAGAUAUAAAGAACUCAAACAACUCAACAGCAAGAAAACAAAUAACCCUAUUUGAAAAUUUGCAAAUGACCUGAAUAGAUAUUUCUCAAAAGAAGACAUGCAAAUGGCAAACAGGUAAAUGAAAAAAUGCUCAUUAUCACUAAAUAUUAGGAAAAUGCAAAUCAAAAACACAUUAAGCUAUCACCGCACACCUGUUAGAAUAGCUAUUUUGAAAAAGACAAAGAUAACAAAAAUUAGAAGGAUGUGGAAAAAUGGAAACCAUUCAUAAUGGUGGUACGUAAACUAGUACCACCAUUAUAAAAAGCAGUAUGAAAAUACCUAUAAAAAUUAAAAAUAAAACUAUCACAUAAUCUAGUAAUCCUACUACCAAAUAUAUAUCCAAAGGAAAUAAAAUUAAUAUGGCAAAUAGACAUCUGCACUCCCAUGUUUAUUGCAGCACUAUCCACAAUAGCCAAGAUAAUGAUCAAAAUAAGUGCCCAUUAAUGGAGGAAUAGUAUUUAAGACAUAAAAAUAAUAAAAUAUUGUCAUUUGCAACAGCAUGAAUGAAUCCGAAGAACAUUAUGUUAAGUGAAAUAAACAAGAAAAAGAAUGACAAACAUCCCAUGAUCUCACUCAUAUAUGGAAUCAAAAAUGUUGAUCUCAUAGAAGUAGAGAGUAGAAUGGUGGUUACUAUUGGUUUGGGUGGUUAGGGAGGAUGUCCUUGGUGAGGGGUUAUGGAGAGAUGUUGGUCAAAGGAUAUAUAAUUAUAGUUUGAUAGAAGAAAUAUAUUUUGAUGUCCAGAACAGGCAAAUGAAUGGAGACAGAAAGUAGAUAAAUGAUUGCCUGGAGUCAGAAGGGGUAGGAAGUAUACAUGGUGGGGG
rnacentral:lncRNA from 1 species